UACGAAGGGGGCUAGCGUUGCUCGGAAUCACUGGGCGUAAAGGGUGCGUAGGCGGGUCUUUAAGUCAGGGGUGAAAUCCUGGAGCUCAACUCCAGAACUGCCUUUGAUACUGAGGAUCUUGAGUUCGGGAGAGGUGAGUGGAACUGCGAGUGUAGAGGUGAAAUUCGUAGAUAUUCGCAAGAACACCAGUGGCGAAGGCGGCUCACUGGCCCGAUACUGACGCUGAGGCACGAAAGCGUGGGGAGCAACAGGAUUAAGAA
rnacentral:rRNA from 1 species